rnacentral:rRNA from 1 species
GAUGAACGCUGGCGGCGUGCCUAAUACAUGCAAGUCGAGCGAAUAGACGAGGAGCUUGCUCCUCUGACGUUAGCGGCGGACGGGUGAGUAACACGUGGAUAACCUACCUAUAAGACUGGGAUAACUUCGGGAAACCGGAGCUAAUACCGGAUAAUAUAUUGAACCGCAUGGUUCAAUAGUGAAAGACGGUUUUGCUGUCACUUAUAGAUGGAUCCGCGCCGCAUUAGCUAGUUGGUAAGGUAACGGCUUACCAAGGCAACGAUGCGUAGCCGACCUGAGAGGGUGGUCGGCCACACUGGAACUGAGACACGGUCCAGACUCCGACGGGAGGCAGCAGUAGGGAAUCUUCCGCAAUGGGCGAAAGCUUGACGGAGCAACGCCGCGUGAGUGAUGAAGGUCUUCGGAUCGUAAAACUCUGUUAGUAGGGAAGAACAAAUGUGUAAGUAACUAUGCACGUCUUGACGGUACCUAAUCAGAAAGCCACGGCUAACUACGUG